rnacentral:hammerhead_ribozyme from 1 species
GCACUGAUGAAGUGUCCCAAACUAGGACGAAACAGAUGUCCAGUAC